UGCUGAUAGGAGGAAACAGAAGUUUCCUAAGAGUAUACUUACCUGACACCAUAGUUUAUUUUUAUAAAAUCAAUAAAUAAAAAUGAUUAAAAGAAAAAUAGAUCUUUGAUCUCCUAUCCUCCAAGCACCAAGCCUGGAGGAAAUAACCCUUCAAUUCAACAAAUACAAUAAAUCCCCCCUCCCCCCCCCCACCCCCCCUUUCAUUUUUCUUUUUUCUUUUUUUCAUCCUUAUCUGUUGUGGAAACCAUUCUGGUCAGCGUAUAGAACUUCUAUCAAUCAUAAACAAAGCAUGGGGGCUGCGGAAUUCUGUCAGAAUUCCCCAUUACAAACACAUAUUUCCCAGGGGAACUCAAAGUAUAACAAAGUAAUUAAAGGGGAAGACGCAGCUGUAGCAGAACACAAGAUCUCCAGUGUAACUACUGAGUGAUAUUUGGUCACUCAACAGUGUGAUAAAGGAAAGAAGAGAGGAUGAGCAAUCAUGGCAACCACGGUCCUUUUGUAUAUCAGUCCAGACCUGAAAGGAAGAAGCAGUGAAGCAAUUUUGAUCCCAGUCCUAUGACCCAGCUUGUACAACCAUUCUGUAGAUAAAGACCCCUACGAAGACAGAUGGGCUGGGUUUGCUGUUCAGGUUAUAGAGUCCAGACACCUGAUCCAGAGCAUAAGUAUCUGAGCCAAGGCUACUGCUGCAGACCUGAACCCAACCUCAGUUCAAGCUGUGCACCCUGUUUCCAGAGAGAGCUGAAAAGGAUUUAUCUCAGGUGCCCUAUCAGUCUGGUCUGUCUUUUUAUAAAAACAGCGUAAGACUUGAAGUCUGAAUACAUCUCUCACAGAUGGAGUUCAAAUCUGUCACUUUUCUUUUACAGGUAGGUGCGAAAGGCUAAAUACCAAGCUGAAUUAGUGUGGGCAGGCUGGGGAGAAUGGGGAGGAGGUGUCACCACUCCUGCUGUGGUGGUAAGGUUGUGCAGAAGGAAAUAAAAAUUUCUGAUGCUAGGAAGGAUGCUGACA
rnacentral:lncRNA from 1 species